rnacentral:misc_RNA from 1 species
GAAAUGCGAUAAGUAAUGUGUAUUGCAGAAUUCAGUGAAUCAUCGAAUCUUUGAACGCACAUUGCGCCCGCCAGUAUUCUGGCGGGCAUGCCUGUUCGAGCGUCAUUACAACCCUCAGGCCCCCGGGCCUGGCGUUGGGGAUCGGCGGAAGCCCCCUGCGGGCACAACGCCGUCCCCCAAAUACAGUGGCGGUCCCGCCGCAGCUUCCAUUGCGUAGUAGCUAACACCUCGCAACUGGAGAGCGGCGCGGCCACGCCGUAAAACACCCAACUUCUGAAUGUUGACCUCGAAUCAGGUAGGAAUACCCGCUGAACUUAAGC